ACAAGCGGUGGAGCAUGUGGUUAAUCGAUGCAACGCGAAGAACUUACCUGGGCUUGACAUCCCAAGAAUCCCCUGGAAACAGGGGAGUGGCCCUUCGGGGAGCUUGGAGACAGGUGCUGCAUGGCUGUCGUCAGCUCGUGUCGUGAGAUGUUGGGUUAAGUCCCGCAACGAGCGCAACCCUUGCCUUUAGUUGCCAUCAUUCAGUUGGGCACUCUAGAGGGACUGCCGGUGUCAAACCGGAGGAAGGUGGGGAUGACGUCAAGUCCUCAUGGCCUUUAUGACCAGGGCUACACACGUACUACAAUGGCCGGUACAAAGGGCAGCCACUUAGCGAUAAGGAGCCAAUCCCGUAAAGCCGGUCUCAGUCCGGAUUGGAGUCUGCAACUCGACUCCAUGAAGUUGGAAUCGCUAGUAAUCGCAGAUCAGCACGCUGCGGUGAAUACGUUCCCGGGCCUU
rnacentral:rRNA from 1 species